UAAUCACCUGUCUUUUAAUUGAAGACCUGUAUGAAAGGCAUCACGAGGAUUUAACUGUCUCUACUUUUCAAUCAAUGAAAUUGUUUUCCCCGUGCAAAAACGGGGAUAUAUUUAUAAGACGAGAAGACCCUGUGGAGCUUUAAGUAACCCAGGAGUGUAUUAAAAUAUACAUUUUUCACCUAAAGCUUACUUUCGGUUGGGGCGACCGUGAAGAAAAAAAGAACCUUCACAAGGAACGGAAAACUCCCAAAACACGAACGACAGUUCUAAUUAACAGAAUUUCUGACCAUCAAGACCCAGCACUAGCUGAUUAAUGAACUAAGUUACCCCAGGGAUAACAGCGCAAUUUUCUUCAAGAGCCCC
rnacentral:rRNA from 1 species